AGAGCGAACGCUGGCGGCAGGCUUAACACAUGCAAGUCGAGCGGGCGUAGCAAUACGUCAGCGGCAGACGGGUGAGUAACGCGUGGGAACAUACCUUUUGGUUCGGAACAACACAGGGAAACUUGUGCUAAUACCGGAUAAGCCCUUACGGGGAAAGAUUUAUCGCCGAAAGAUUGGCCCGCGUCUGAUUAGCUAGUUGGUGAGGUAACGGCUCACCAAGGCGACGAUCAGUAGCUGGUCUGAGAGGAUGAUCAGCCACAUUGGGACUGAGACACGGCCCAAACUCCUACGGGAGGCAGCAGUGGGAAUAUUGGACAAUGGGCGAAAGCCUGAUCCAGCCAUGCCGCGUGAGUGAUGAAGGCCCUAGGGUUGUAAAGCUCUUUUGUGCGGGAAGAUAAUGACGGUACCGCAAGAAUAAGCCCCGGCUAACUUCGCGCCAGCAGCCGC
rnacentral:rRNA from 1 species